rnacentral:rRNA from 1 species
ACUCCUACGGGAGGCAGCAGUGGGGAAUAUUGCACAAUGGGCGCAAGCCUGAUGCAGCAACGCCGUGUGAGUGAAGAAGGUUUUCGGAUCGUAAAACUCUGUCCUAAGGGAAGAAACAAAUGACGGUACCUUAGGAGGAAGCCCCGGCUAACUACGUGCCAGCAGCCGCGGUAAUACGUAGGGGGCGAAGCGUUAUCCGGAAUCACUGGGGCGUAAAGGGUGCGUAGGCGGCUUAGCAAGCCAGGGGUGAAAGGCAUUGGCUCAACCAAUGUAAGCCUUUGGAACUGUUAAGCUUGAGUGCAGGAGAGGUAAGUGGAAUUCCUAGUGUAGAGGUGAAAUUCGUAGAUAUUAGGAGGAACACCAGUGGCGAAGGCGACUUACUGGACUGUAACUGACGCUGAUGCACGAAAGCGUGGGUAGCGAACAGGAUUAGAUACCCUGGUAGCGACUGA